rnacentral:rRNA from 1 species
GGAGGCAGCAGUGGGGAAUUUUGCACAAUGGGGGAAACCCUGAUGCAGCGACGCCGCGUGAUUUAGAAGGCCUUCGGGUUGUAAAAAUCUUUUUUACGGGAUGAAAAUGACAGUACCGUAAGAAUAAGGUCCGGCUAAAUACGUGCCAGCAGCCGCGGUAAUACGUAUGGACCGAGCGUUGUCCGGAAUCAUUGGGCGUAAAGGGUACGUAGGCGGCCUAAUAAGUUAGAAGUGAAAGAAUAUAGCUCAACUAUAUAAAGCUUUUAAAACUGUUAGGCUUGAGAGAUGAAAGGGAAAGUGGAAUUCCUAGUGUAGCGGUGAAAUGCGCAGAUAUUAGGAAGAAUACCGGUGGCGAAGGCGACUUUCUGGUCAUCAUCUGACGCUGAGGUACGAAAGCGUGGGUAGCAAACAGGAUUAGAUACCCUGGUAGUCCACGCUGUAAACGAUGAGUGUUAGGUUCUUGGAAUAAUCUGGGAGCCGCAGCUAACGCAUUAAACACUCCGCCUGGGGAGUACGCACGCAAGUGUGAAACUCAAAGGAAUUGACGGGGACCCGCACAAGCAGCGGAGCAUGUGGUUUAAUUCGACGCAACGCGAAGAACCUUACCAAGUCUUGACAUAAUACGGAGGGAAUUAGAGAUAAUUCCUUACCACUUCGGUGGGCUGUAUUACAGGUGGUGCAUGGUUGUCGUCAGCUCGUGUCGUGAGAUGUUGGGUUAAGUCCCAUAACGAGCGCAACCCCUAUCGUUAGUUACCAUCAUUAAGUUGGGGACUCUAGCGAUACUGCCGGUGAUAAACCGGAGGAAGGUGGGGACGACGUCAAAUCAUCAUGCCCUUUAUGACUUGGGCUACACACGUGCUACAAUGGCAGAUACAGAGGGCAGC